UCUCUCACUCGCGCCGCUCCUUCUCUUCCUCCCACGCCGCCUCCCUCUCUCCCUCAAAACCCUAACCCGCGCCGCCUCCCUGCCCCGCCGCCGGCCGCCGCCGCCGCUCACUCGGGCACCCAUCCACGACCUCACACCGCCCCUCUCCUCUUCCUCCCGCCUCACCUCUCUCUCUCCUUCCAAACCCUAGACCACCUCCCUGCCCCGUCCCCGUCGCCGAGGAGGAGCUCGCGCUCGGGGAGGACGAGGAGACGGCCGCCUCCAUGGAGCAGCAGAAGGAGGAGGGGCACGCGGCGGCGGCGACCAAGAGGCGCAUGGCGCAGCCGACCAAGAAGGCCGGGAACAUGGCCACCGGCGACAAGGAGCCCGAGUUCCUCGACGAGCCGUAGGAUCUGAGGUCAGCCCACUCCCUUGCCUUCUCUUGCUUGUACGCCGCAGCCUGUGAGUGCCAGGAAGAUGAGGAGGAGGCAGAGAGGGAGAUGGUUCCGUUUGUUUACCCGUCUUUUAUAAGUUUGAGAUCUCGUUGUUGUUGUUGAUGGUGGCAUGGUGGCGCACAAUAUCUUUCAGAAAAAGAAGAAACUUCUCAGAAUUCAAGUGUUAUCUGUGAAUGGAGAGACAAAAAACUGUAAUGAAGGAGAUAACUCAUGGUGCCUGUAACUAUCUCCUAAAACCCGCUCGCAUCGAGGAGCUUUGGAAUAUCUGGCAGCAUGUUGUUUGGUCUGUUGAACUAUAUAGAAAAUUCAUCUCUGCUCUCAACCAUCUUGGAAUUGACAAAGGUGUGCCAAAAAGGAUACUAAUGUUGAGAAACUCACUAGGGAAAAUGUUGCAAGUCGUCUACAGGCAAG